ACCGCGCCGGGCCGCUGAGGCUGCUGGGUGGAAACCGCCGCCGCGGGCCCGGGACUGUGAGUUCGAGCCCUGGCGAGCCCGCCCUACCCCACCCUCCCCGCAGCAGGCCCCUCCGAGACGCCGUUUGGGAGCGCUUUCCCCCAUGUGCCUCCCGCCGCUUUGGGUCAGGGGCUGCAAGCUGCUUGCCCAGCCCCUGUGCUUGCUCCAUCACGGUGAACCUGCAAAGGUGUGUUUCAGAGGCUUUUGGCCCCAGACUUUAUUCUGGCCGCCUGGAAAGCGGAGGCCGUGUCUCCUGAGUUUCUAUGGCCCAGCGCGGGGUGGAGGUGGGGCGCGCAUACACAGGGACAUGUCUGGGAGAGGGAUAUGCGUCCUCUUCCUGGGACCCCUCUCCCCCUGGACGCUCCCAUAACCGAACUGCCAACCCAGCCCAGCCCAGUCCAGCCCAUGUUGGGUUCCUAAGUCCCGGAAGCUGGGCACAGGCCCCAACUCGGUUCCCAUGGACACUAUUGCGUCCAUAUGCAGUGCCAGGCGCUUUACACACAUUAUCUCACUUAUUUCACACGUCCUUGAGAACAGGCACUGUUCACGGCAGAUAUUUAUUGCACGGCCACCCCCACGCUGCCACGCCUCGCUCUCAGAUGAGGAAACCGGGGGGAUGGGGGGUGGAUGGAGGC
rnacentral:lncRNA from 1 species